GCUGCUGUUGCGCUGCUAUACUGCUGCUUGAGGCUGCCAUGGCCUUGGCCAUGGCCGAGUGUGUUGCGUGGUGUGUGUGCGUGUGUUCUGUGUGUGUGGCCGGCCGGCCAUGUUCAAUUAGUUUAGGCUAAUCUAGAUUUACGUUAUAAUUAUUAGGUUAUAUGCUAGCCUAUGACAUGUGGCCCUUUCUAGAUUAAUUUAGUCUAGCUACCUUUUUUUGCACAUGUGACAAUGUCAGGUACCCUAGAGAUUAAACAAAAAUCUAAUUACCUACUAUCUAUGACAAUUGGGUCCCGUCGGCACUGUUGACUUUGACUAGUCAACUCUGAUUGGGUUGUUGACUUUGACUCUGGCCCCACCUGACAGUCAAACAGCGACACUGGUAGUGUACACACCCUGGGUACGCCUAGCUUUUAGUCAUUUAUUUUCGAAAUAAAAGUUUUCCAUAAAAUCUUUUAAUCUUUGAACAAUCAUAUAAAAUAAACCGUAGCUCAGAUGGAAAUAAUUUAUAUAUGAAAGUUGCUCAGAACGACGAGACGAAUCCGAAUACACAGCCCGUUCGUCCGCCACACAUCUCUAGCAUAGUAAACACGUAACUUUCCCUCUCCGGUUCAUCUGUCUGAAAACGCGGAACACCGGGGAUACUUUCCGGAUGUUUCCCCCCUUCGUCGUUAUCACCUACCACUACGUUAGGUCACCCCUAGCACCGCAUAUUGCCGCGUCUUGCUUUGUGUUACAUUUGAUUGCUCUGUUAUUUAUUGUGUUCCCCCUCCGUUACUUCUUUCCGGUAGACUCUGAGACCGGUGCCGAUGUUCGUGUGUUCGACUACACCGAUGAUGACCCCUCCUUCUUGCCAGAGCAACCAGGCAAGCCUCCCCUUUGAUCACCAGAUAUCGCCUAUUCUUCUCUCUACUGCUUGCAUUAGAGUAGUGUAGCAUGUUACUGCUUUCCGUUAUCCUAUCCUGAUGCAUAGCCUGUCCUUGCUACUACUGUUGUUACCUUUACCUGCAAUCAUAAAUGCUUAGUAUAGGAUGCUAGUGUUCCAUCACUGGCCCUACUCUCUUGUCCGUCUGCCAUGCUAUACUACUGGGCUGUGAUCACUUCGGGAGGUGAUCACGGGCAUAUGAUAUAUACUUAUAUUGUUACAUUACUUAUGAUACUGUUCGGAGAUGGGGGCUGAAGGGGCAGGUGGCUCCAUCCCGGUAGAGGUGGGCCUGGGUUCCCGACGGCUCUUGACUGUUACUUUUUGGCGGAGCGACAGGGCAGGUUGAGACCACCUAGGAGAGAGGUGGGCCUGGCCCUGGUCGGCGUUCGCGGAUACUUCAAUUAACAUGCUUAACGAGAUCUUGGUAUUUGAUCUGAGUCUGGCUACUGGCCUAUACGCACUAACCAACUACGCGAGAACAUUUAUGGGCACUCGACGUCGUGGUAUCAGCCAAAGCCUUCGUGAGGUCAGCGACUGAGCGGCGUGCGCCGGGUUGGACUGGAACGCCUGCUCUUGUAUAAGGGAGGCUAGGUCUGCUCACUGGCCGCGUACGGAACGUGCAUGUGUGCAAUGGGCGAUGGGCCCAAAUCCCUACGCCAUAGGAUUUAGAUCGGCGUGCUGACCUUUCUGUUGUGCCUAGGUAGGGCUGCGACGUGUUGAUCUUCUGAGGCCGGGCAUGAUCCAAGAAAGUGUGUCCGGACAAAGGGGAUCGAUCGUGUUGGAAAAUGUGGUGCACCCCUGCAGGGAAGUUAAUCUAUUCGAAUAGCCGUGAUCUCUGGUAACAGGACGACUUGGAGUUGUACCUUGACCUUAUGACAACUAGAACCGGAUACUUAAUAAAAUACACCCUUCCAAGUGCCAGAUACAAUCGGUGAUCGCUCUCUCACAGGGCGACGAGGGGAGGAUCAUCGGUUAGGAUUAUGCUACACGAUGCUACUUGGUGAACUUACCUUCUGCUCUCUUCUACAUGCUGCAAGAUGGAGGUGGCCAGAAGCGUAGUCUUCGAUAGGACUAGCUAUCCCCCUUUUAUUCCAGCAUUCUGCAGUUCAGUCCACAUACGAUACCUUUAUUCCAUUUGAUACCAAUGCAUACAUAUGUAGUGUAGCUCCUUGCCUGCGAGUACUUUGGAUGAGUACUCACGGUUGCUUUUGUUCCCCCUUUUCCCCUUCCUAUACCCGAUUGCUGCGACCAGACGAUGGAGUCCAGGAGCCAGACGCCACCGUUGGCGAUGACUGCUACUACACUGGAGGUGCCUACUACUACGUGCAGCCCGCUGACGACGAUCAAGAGUAGUUUAGGAGGAUCCCAGGCAGGAGUCCUGCGCCUCUUUCGAUUUGUAUCCUAGUUUGUGCUAGCCUUCUUAAGGCAAACAUGUUUAACUUAUGUUAGUACUCAGAUAUUGUUGCUUCCGCUGACUCGUCUAUGAUCGAGCUCUUGUAUUCGAGCCCUCGAGGCCCCUGGCUUGUAAUAUGAUGCUUGUAUGACUUUUUUUAUUUGUAGAGUUGUGUUGUGAUAUCUUCCCAUGAGUUCCUAAUCUUGAUCGUACACGUUUGCGUGUAUGAUUAGUGUACGAUUGAAUCGGGGGCGUCACAAGUUGGUAUCAGAGCCGACUGCCAGUAGGAAUCCUCCUUCCACACUCCUUGGCCGAAGUUGAGUCUAGACAUUACAAAAACUUUUACUAACAUGGCGGUGUGCCUAACGGGCCCACGUCGCCAUCUGGGUGGUAUUAGGAUCUUUUAUUCCUCGACCUAUACUCUGGGACUCUGAUCUCUCUUCUUGUUGGGUUAACUGAAUUUACUAACUCUAACUCUAGGUUCUCGUAACUACUUACUCCCGGAGAGCCCCUUAUCACAGAUGAUCACCCACUGCACCAGAAGAUUUUAAAGAUACUCUCCAGUGUUCUAUCGAGACUUUGUGACCACCGCUUUUGCUAUUCUCGACCACCGGUAAAUCCUUAAGGACGACUACUUACACUUAUCUCUUAUACCUUCGUACCCAGUUGCCCUUGUUAUUACUUGAUACCCUGAAAAAUUCUUCGAUAUUCCGAGAAAGCUUUGUGUCUACUGCUUACAGCUCUUUUCUGUAUUAAUACCCCUACGGAUAAUUCCUCGCACUUACUGAGUGUCCGCUCAUUCCCAGUUGCUCGUGUGUUUCACAAAAGUCUUCGAAAUGUUAUUCAAUCUUUCGAAAACCCUCAGCAAGCUAUUGCUCUUGAAAUUCUUGCUUGCCUGCAUUAUGAUUAAUCCCAUAAGUCUGGUAAUCUUAUUGGCAUCCAUUGUCAUUAUAAUUUUGAGUCCAUUGAUUCAACGUGUUGCGAUUUCUUGCGAUCCUCAGAAGAAUCUUAGAAUUCUUUCUUCCAGCUCAUACGCCAUUUUUAAACAUGAGUUGGAUCUCGACUAAUCAAAUUGCCAUCAAUUGUAACCCUAAGGUUGUUCCGUUUAUCCAUCCCUAAUCAUAGCAUUGCUUCUGAUCCCUUGUCUUGGAAUUGAUAAUUCCUUUGCAUUUGAGCUUUGAGUUAGUCAGUUGCUUCUAUAAUCUGAUCUCCUUGCAUUCUUUCUUCCUCUAAUUGAGUACCGAUGCUUACAUCAGAUCCCUUGAGGACCAUCAGAUCAUUUGUUAGAUUUUAUCCGACAACAUCCUUCAUAUUCUAUCACUUUGGAAGUUCUUCCUCUGAUAUAUAAUGCCAUUGGUAAAUCCUAUUCUCUGAUUGGCCAACCAUGCUCUGCUUUUGAGCUGGAGAUAUUUACUCUUGAAACUUGUGGUAUAUGUUUCUAAGAAGCCCCUAUGGGUUGAACCUAUGCCUUCCUUAAUCUGUGUGAUGCCGAAAGAUUUCACGUGUCAUACUUAUCUGGUAUUUCACCAGGUAAAAACUUUCAACACUAAUGUCAUUUUUGAAACGCGAGAAGUGAACGAAAGGUUAUGCAUUGAAGAAGUGGGAGUCGACCUUGAACUUUGUGUUCAUGCCCAUGGACACGAUGUAUAUCCUAUCAUGGAAGCUUCUUGUAAUAAUAAUUACUCCCUUGAUAUAAUAUCAUUUGGUAUCUGUGAAUUGAUCCUUUGCAAUCGUGGUUCCGGUCAUAUUUUCUCCUUGAUUUUAAUUCUCGGACUAGUUAAAGCACUUGUCUUCUGCAGAUCAGUACACCUCUGCAACCUCUAUUAUGUUCUACCUUUGAGUAUUACCCCAUGCUAUCUCGAUAAAAUCAGAGAACCAUAUUACUUCUUAUGAGUUCUUAUUCAAGUAUUAUUUCUCACUGAUCCCAAUUUUUCCCCGCGUUCUGAGUUGUUAGACACUCAGGGACACCGAUAGUGAAUCGAGUCCAUAAUCUGAUUCAUUAAUUUUGUUGCAUAUGAGUUUAAUAAUCCUUCAAGUCAUUCCUAGCCCGGGCGGCUAUAUCAUUAUCGUGCUAAAUUUUAAUUGUGCUACCUGGUCCUUCUUCUCGCCGCACAAUUUUAGACGGCAAGCUAAUCUUAGGUCAAACUUCCUCGUCAUAUCAUUUUUCCUUGAACAUCAAACUUGAUUUCGAGUUUAUGUCGUACCCUUGGUUUCCAUAACUUUUCGCUUCAUCAUCAUUUGACUUGAUGGCAUCGCCGAUCGAUUACAUCUUCAUGAAAUCUCUCGACAACUGUGUCAUGAUCAUCAUCAAAAUCCUAAGCUCUUCCAAGAUAUAUAUCGAAUUCUUGAUGGGCAAUACCAUCCUUGCCCCUCGAGGAUUCGUGUUAUCAUCAACCACUUUAUUGUCUUUUGUUCAACACAAACUUGUUCGUGUUUUGUGUUAUACCUUGAGAUCAUUCUACCUAAGCCCAUAUUCCGGGUGCACCUUUCAAUCAAUGAUUAACUGUGUAUGUUUUCCUCGAGCAUACCUCAUUAUAUCAUUUGAUUUGACAAAUGUUAUCUCCUUGUUCGAAUACUGGUAGGAAUCCAUCUUUUGAAAAUCUCAACGAAUUGUCGCUGAGUUCAUCAGCCACCCCCUCAUCCUCUCCUUGGGUCAAUGAUGAACUCAUGAUUCGGAACUUGCUUCCAUAGUUCAUUUCCCGAAAAUCUUACAAUGUCAUCUCGUCAAUUGCGUUGCACCUCAUCUUUCUCAGGCAUCUUGAGUCUGAAGUAUCCUGACACCAAUCGGACCUGAAUCUCGGUCAGGUACAAUGGUUGGAACAUAUUUCCAAGAGUUAUAACAUUGGUCUUUAACCCGAUAAGGUGAUGUCAUCCUAACACACCUGCCCGGAGGGCCUAUUGUUAUAGUUUCCUUUCUAGCAAGGUUAGUCAUUCUUCCAUGAGUAAUUUGUAAGACUUAUUCUAUGAGUUGUUCCGGAUGGAUCCCUUGUGUAUCCAAGGUCUGAUCUUUACCCAGUGACCAUGUCAAUGAUAUCUCGAAGCUUUUCUGUGGUACUACGAUUUUCAACAAGAACAUUUGAAGCCCAAUGCUAAAUGUUUCCUGCUCAAUUACCCAAACACCAUUGUAUGGUUAAUAUCAUGAGAUUUCUCUCACCUUACCUAAAGAGUUUUCUACAUUAUAUCCAGUCAUGGAUAUCAUGCUCUGCUUGUCCUUGGGAAGGAUAUACCCUUGAAAUAUAUGUUUAAGCACAUUUUCCUUUCCAUUCUUCUAUUUAAUCUGAUAAUCACAUUUUCCUUUCCAUUGUUUUGUUUAACCUUCUUGAGGUUUAUAUGAUCUAAAUAGUAAUAAGUCACUGCUUUUGUAAGCACCUCGGUGUACAACUCUGUCAGUAAGAACCUGUUACUAUUGAUUGGUGACAUUCCGAUAUCCACCGAUGGACGAGAACUUUGCCUAAUGGCCCGCCUCGUUCAACGAGCAGGAGAAUGGUUCUCUUCGUCCCUCGCCCUUGGUACCGAUGUUGUGCCAACAUAACUGAUAGGCUAUCCUCUGGCAUGCCUUGUUAUCAUGACUGUGCAAGAUAUCACCGCCCUUUCUACUUUUAACCUACAUGGUGGGCCCAUAACCCACAGUUCCACAGGAUCGAAACCUGACUCUCCUGUACACCCUAUUGUCCAAGUUAUUCCUCGCGCUUGACUUUGUAUAUGAUUCACGGACCACCUGCCUAGUGAUCUAUUCUGGUAUCAGACACAAUACUUAUUCCAGUUGCUAUGAACACCUUUCAUGCCCUGUAACAGGCAUCGAACGACUGCCUGCCCACUAGAAACUUCCCAUGAUACCUCCGUACUUUGCUCUUGAUAUUUUCUUAAGUUUCAAUUCGAGAGUUACUUUCUGCCACCUUCCCCGAUAUUAUCGACCAGAUAGUCAACCUUGCAGAGGUUCGUUUCCCCGGAAUACCCACCCUUUAUUCUUUGUAAGUACGAUGGAAUUCCCAAAGAAAGGAUGUCGACUUCAUCAUGAUGAACUGAAGCAGAGGACUGAAGACCUCAAGUAAUGGAUCGACCUCUUCAAGAAGAGCAUCCAAGACCGAGAAGACUCGAUAGAAUUUCGUAACUAGAAUUUUCCCCCUUACGCCCCUCUUAAAUCUCGGGACGAGAUCUCUUGUAGUGGAGGAGAAUUGUGACACCCGGAUAAUUAAGCUACAUCAAUCCUCUGUUAAUGAGGUCAUGUCACCACUAUUUAUGUUGCUAAUCUCACUUAGAUCCAAAAUCGGUUUGAAUUCAAACUUAAAAUAAAGACAAAUUCUUAUUUCUUCAAACUAUCAAAUAAAAAUGUUUGGUGGGUUGCAAAUAUUCCUCAAGUAAUUUUCAUACAUAAGGAAACAUCAUUUGAGUUAAUAAAUUGCCGCUAAACUAUUUAAAAGAGUGUCGUAUCAGCUUUUUCAAAAGCUUUUCCAUUUAAGAAAAAUCAAACAGAUGUAGUGACCUCCCAAACUUUUUGUGGCAGUGCCAAAUAUUGCAUUUUAAUCAAGUGGCUAAGUCCCAUAUUUUACAAAAGUCUUUUGUUGGCUAACUAAAACACAAAGCAAUCGCAAAAAAAAAGAAAAAUAGAAAAGAAAGCUAAGGAACAAAACAGAAAAAUGGAAGCGAAGGGAAGCGAAGGGAAGAAGAGGCCCAUGUGGCUGGUGGCCCAACCUAGACACCCCACUCAUCUCCUACCUCCUGUAGCUACACGGAGGCAGAGGAGCCGUGGCAGUCAUCCGGCCGCCGAGGCCGCACCGUGUAGACCAUCCCCGACCUCCCCGACCCCUUUAAGACAUCGCCCGCGACCCCUGCAAACCCUAGCGCAUCCCCAUUCUCCCCCUCUCGCCGCCUCGCCCAAAUCCGCCGUUGUCCGGGAGCUGCGUCACCCCGCCGUCAUCGUCGUCAUGGCCAAGUAUUUCCCCGAGAUGCGCCGGGAUGUCCAGCGGCAUCGUCGUCACCUUCUACAUCGUCUACGCCUAUUCAUUUGUCGCUGGUCCUCACCGGGGCAUCAUAUUCGUCCAUCGUCCCCGACUGGAUCACCGGAAGUUCGCCGCUCGAUCCGCCGCCAUUGCUGCGUCCCCGGCCUCAUCAUACCCUCCUCUGCGUUUGUCGUGAGACUCUCCUCCGGUUCCCCCUAUUCCCCCCCUCGAGUCACCACCGUAGGCCACAGUCACCAUUGUGUCCGAUGCAGCUGGAGCUCAUGCUCACCGCACAACAGUUCGCGAUCCCGCGCGCCUCUGCCGCCCUAGCCACGCCCUGCCUCGUCCCUUUGGCCGCGCUUGGGCGAGCCCUGCGUGCGCCUGCUCGCGCUCUUGCCGUGCCAUUCGUCUCCCGCUCGUGCGCCGUGCUGCUGCUGCCUCUAGCGUGUUAGCAAAUAAGCCCCGGCGGGCACUUCCAGCUAGUGUACGGGUGCGUGCGUGUGCGGUGUGCGUGCUGGACGUGAGUCCGUGGCCGCGCCCAGUCCGUGGCAAGUGUGUGUGCGUGCGUGAGUCUGUUGGCGAGAGUAGCGGGAGGUUUGCGUGGCGAUCGGGUGCAGCCGGCUGCGUACGUCGCGUUUGUGCGCGUCGUGGGCGCGCCGGGCUUGCGGAUCGUGGGCGUGGGAGAGUGGAGCGCGGCGUCGUGCGUGCGCGCACGCGUAUAAGUCUCCCUUCUGUGUACUGGUUCAGCAGCGGCUUGAGUUCGUGCUCAAGGGAAAGGGUGCCGUUCGUGCGGCCGCGUAUGUGCGCCGGAGAAACUUGCCGUGUCCACCGUGUCCUUCUUCCUUCUCCUUCUUCUUGGUUUGAGCCAAAGUGAGAGAGACUAGAGCAGAGAGGUCCGGGAGAGCGAAGGAGAAGGCCGCAGCACCAACAUUUGGCAUCAGAGCUUCGGUUCGAGAGGUCGACGGCAGCCAUGGCGCUUGUUCCGCACGGCGGUGGUGGUGGCAGUUUCUCGCUGCCGGUCCCGCCAUUGACGACGUCGAACUACAUCUCCUGGGCGAUCAAGGUGGAGGCGCUCCUUGAUGCCCAGGGGCUGUGGUGUGCAGUGGCUCCGGCGGAUGGCACGGCGGUGGACGCCGGCAAGAGCAGGACGGCGAGGGCGUUGCUGCUCGGAGCGUUGUCGGAGGAGGUGCUGCUGCCGGUGUCGACGAAGACCACCGCAAAGGAGGUAUGGGACUCCCUCAAGGUGCGUUUCGUCGGCGCCGAUCGGGUGCGGGCGGCCCGGCUCGCGUCGCUCCGCGGCGAGUUUGAUCGGCUGCGGAUGGCGGACGACGAGGACUUGGACAGCUUCGCAGGGAAGCUCGGCGCCAUGACGGCACGAUACGCAGGCCUGGGGGAGGUACUCGACGACGCCGCACUCGUGAAGAAGCUGCUGGACUCGGUCCCUGACCGCCUGUACCCCGCCGUCGCCGGAAUAGAGCAAUUCUGCGACGUGGAUGACAUGGCGUUCGAGGAGGCCUUGGGGCGGCUCAAGGUGUUCGACGAACGGACCCGGUGUCGUGGGCAGGACGGCGGCAGGCGCGAUGGCGAGGAGCUGCUGUACACGGCGGCACAAUGGGCGGCGCGGCAGCGCAGGCAGGGCGGUGGCGGCUUCAACGACCACGAUGACAACGACACGACAAGCAUGGUGUCUGGCGGUGGCGGGAAGAGGCGAGGCCGCUGCUACAACUGCGGGCAGCGCGGCCACUUCAAGCGGGACUGCACAAGGCCGAGGAAGAUGGCGGCGGCGGAGGAUCGGGCGCUGCUGGUGGACGUUGGCGUCGAGGACGCCGGCCUCCUCUAGGCCGUGGCUUAGGGGGUGACUGUUAGCAAAUAAGCCACGGUGGGCACUUCCAGCUAGUGUAUGGGUGCGUGCGUGUGCGGUGUGCGUGCAGGACGUGAGUCCGUGGCCGCGCCCAGUCCGUGGCAAGUGUGUGUGUGCGUGCGUGAGUCUGUUGGCGAGAGUAGCGGGAGGUUUGCGUGGCGAUCGGGUGCAGCCGGCUGCGUACGUCGCGUUUGUGCGCGUCGUGGGCGCGCCGGGCUUGCGGAUCGUGGGCGUGGGAGAGUGGAGCGCGGCGUUGUGCGUGCGCGCACGCGUAUAAGUCUCCCUUUUGUGUACUGGUUCAGCAGCGGCUUGAGUUCGUGCUCAAGGGAAAGGGUGCCGUUCGUGCGGCCGCGUAUGUGCGCCAGAGAAACUUGCCGUGUCCACCGUGUCCUUCUUCCUUCUCCUUCUUCUUCUUGGUUUGAGCCAAAGUGAGAGAGACUAGAGCAGAGAGGUCCGGGAGAGCGAAGGAGAAGGCCGCAGCACCAACAUAGCGCUACUGCCGCUGCUACUUACUGCUUCGGCUGCCGCUGCUGUCUAGUACUGCUUCUUCUCUUCUCUCUACUACUGAUGCUCUGCUCGCUACUGCUGCUGCUUAGCCUAAAAGCUGCUGUUGCGCUGCUAUACUACUGCUUGUGGCUGGCCAUGGCCUUGGCCAUGGCCGUGUGUGUUGCGUGGUGUGUGUGCGUGUGUUCUGUGUGUGUGGCCAGCCGGCCAUGUUCAAUUAGUUUAGGCUAAUCUAGAUCUACGUUAAUAAUUGUUAGGUUAUAUGCUAGCCUAUGACAUGUGGCCCAUUCUAGAUUAAUUUAGUCUAGCUACUUUUUUGCAAAGGUGACACUGACAUGCGGGUACCCUAGA
rnacentral:lncRNA from 1 species